AAAUUGAAGAGUUUGAUCAUGGCUCAGAUUGAACGCUGGCGGCAGGCCUAACACAUGCAAGUCGAGCGGAAACGAGUUAUCAGAACCUUCGGGGAACGAUAACGGCGUCGAGCGGCGGACGGGUGAGUAAUGCCUAGGAAAUUGCCCUGAUGUGGGGGAUAACCAUUGGAAACGAUGGCUAAUACCGCAUGAUGCCUACGGGCCAAAGAGGGGGACCUUCGGGCCUCUCGCGUCAGGAUAUGCCUAGGUGGGAUUAGCUAGUUGGUGAGGUAAGGGCUCACCAAGGCGACGAUCCCUAGCUGGUCUGAGAGGAUGAUCAGCCACACUGGAACUGAGACACGGUCCAGACUCCUACGGGAGGCAGCAGUGGGGAAUAUUGCACAAUGGGCGCAAGCCUGAUGCAGCCAUGCCGCGUGUGUGAAGAAGGCCUUCGGGUUGUAAAGCACUUUCAGUCGUGAGGAAGGCGGUGUAGUUAAUAGCUGCAUCGUUUGACGUUAGCGACAGAAGAAGCACCGGCUAACUCCGUGCCAGCAGCCGCGGUAAUACGGAGGGUGCGAGCGUUAAUCGGAAUUACUGGGCGUAAAGCGCAUGCAGGUGGUUUGUUAAGUCAGAUGUGAAAGCCCGGGGCUCAACCUCGGAAUUGCAUUUGAAACUGGCAGACUAGAGUACUGUAGAGGGGGGGUAGAAUUUCAGGUGUAGCGGUGAAAUGCGUAGAGAUCUGAAGGAAUACCGGUGGCGAAGGCGGCCCCCUGGACAGAUACUGACACUCAGAUGCGAAAGCGUGGGGAGCAAACAGGAUUAGAUACCCUGGUAGUCCACGCCGUAAACGAUGUCUACUUGGAGGUUGUGGCCUUGAGCCGUGGCUUUCGGAGCUAACGCGUUAAGUAGACCGCCUGGGGAGUACGGUCGCAAGAUUAAAACUCAAAUGAAUUGACGGGGGGCCCGCACAAGCGGUGGAGCAUGUGGUUUAAUUCGAUGCAACGCGAAGAACCUUACCUACUCUUGACAUCCAGAGAACUUUCCAGAGAUGGAUUGGUGCCUUCGGGAACUCUGAGACAGGUGCUGCAUGGCUGUCGUCAGCUCGUGUUGUGAAAUGUUGGGUUAAGUCCCGCAACGAGCGCAACCCUUAUCCUUGUUUGCCAGCGAGUAAUGUCGGGAACUCCAGGGAGACUGCCGGUGAUAAACCGGAGGAAGGUGGGGACGACGUCAAGUCAUCAUGGCCCUUACGAGUAGGGCUACACACGUGCUACAAUGGCGCAUACAGAGGGCAGCCAACUUGCGAAAGUGAGCGAAUCCCAAAAAGUGCGUCGUAGUCCGGAUUGGAGUCUGCAACUCGACUCCAUGAAGUCGGAAUCGCUAGUAAUCGUGGAUCAGAAUGCCACGGUGAAUACGUUCCCGGGCCUUGUACACACCGCCCGUCACACCAUGGGAGUGGGCUGCAAAAGAAGUAGGUAGUUUAACCUUCGGGGGGACGCUUACCACUUUGUGGUUCAUGACUGGGGUGAAGUCGUAACAAGGUAGCGCUAGGGGAACCUGGCGCUGGAUCACCUCCUUA
rnacentral:rRNA from 1 species